rnacentral:rRNA from 1 species
UAAAGAAUUUCGGUAUGGGAUGGGGAUGCGUUCCAUUAGUUAGUUGGCGGGGUAACGGCCCACCAAGACAACGAUGGAUAGGGGUUCUGAGAGGAAGGUCCCCCACAUUGGAACUGAGACACGGUCCAAACUCCUACGGGAGGCAGCAGUGAGGAAUAUUGGUCAAUGGACGAGAGUCUGAACCAGCCAAGUAGCGUGAAGGAUGACUGCCCUAUGGGUUGUAAACUUCUUUUAUAUGGGAAUAAAAUGUUCCACGUGUGGGAUUUUGUAUGUACCAUAUGAAUAAGGAUCGGCUAACUCCGUGCCAGCAGCCGCGGUAAUACGGAGGAUCCGAGCGUUAUCCGGAUUUAUUGGGUUUAAAGGGAGCGUAGGUGGAUUGUUAAGUCAGUUGUGAAAGUUUGCGGCUCAACCGUAAAAUUGCAGUUGACACUGGCAGUCUUGAGUACAGUAGAGGUGGGCGGAAUUCGUGGUGUAGCGGUGAAAUGCUUAGAUAUCACGAAGAACUCCGAUUGCGAAGGCAGCUCACUGGACUGCAACUGACACUGAGGCUCGAAAGUGUGGGUAUCAAACAGGAUUAGAUACCCUGGUAGUCCACACAGUAAAAGAUGAAUACUCGCUGUUUGCGAUAUACAGUAA